rnacentral:lncRNA from 1 species
CGAGAUCCACUACUACUCCUCCUCCAUACCGCCUCUGCCGGCAGCGGGCUGCACGAAUCAUCUCCAUCAACACCUGCUGCUCCCCCACGCACCGAAGAAAUCAAGAACCAAGGAACGCGAGCACGACGACCACCUGCAACAUCCUCCCCUUCUCCAAGUGCUGCUGCCCUCUCCUUUGGUUAAAUCCCCACCGAACUCUCUCUCUCUCUCUCCUACUUGUUGCUUGCUGUUUGUGUGUACAAGAACUGAGAAAGAACAUGCUGUUGAUCUUUGGAAAGUUAGCUGAGCCUUGCACUGUGUUAAACUCUCUCUUUAGCUUCUGGCCGAUGUGUGCACUUAAUUAUUGUUCUAUGUUAUAAUCUACUCUGAUAUUUGUGAAUGUGGCUGUGUGUAUACUUGUUGAUGUGUUUCGUGCAAUUUUCUAUCCCUAUCUAAAAACUUGCUUCUUCCCAGUCUUAUAUGUUUGCUGGUGAAAUUACUUUCUGUCAAUAUUGUUCUUUGUCUUUGCUUCUGCCCCUGUCUUUGAUGUAUGCUUGUCUUAGUGUUUUAGAUUCUAAAGUAAAUUGAAAAUACCAAAAAAAUAUUGCAGUCAUUCUGUACCUUGAAUCUCAUAAUUGUUUCUAUCCUUAUCUUGGAUAAUUGCUUGUGAUGUUUCGUGGUAGAUGAUCUUGUCUUGCUUUAUAGUGGGAAAUCUUCUCUUUGUUUGUUUUAAAUGCCAAAAUCCUUUCUUGUGAUCUAGCUUUAACCGAACAUUGUUGUCGCUGCCUAGUGCCUGUGGAGAAUCUCAACAAAAACUACUAUAUUUGCAUUGAUCAAAUUGGCGCCGUUGCCGGGGACUAGCAGCGAGCGAUUGUGUUAGGUUAUAGACUAGGUGUUUUUCCCCUUGUUUAGUAACCCCUAUUCUAGGUGUUUCUCUGUUUUCUAUUUGUUUCUUGUCAUAUUUAACAGGUUAUAUUAUCAUCUUGGUCAUGUCAUACUAUUCAGAUUAUUAUGGAUAUGCGAGCAGUAGCGGCAACAACAUAACAAGUCUUCAAGAUAAGAUAAAUGAGUUGUCUGGUCAGAAGCAAAUGUUAUCAAGUAAAAUAGAACAACACAAUUUGCAGCAAGGAAAUGGUCUUCAGGGAGGCCCUGCUAUUUUGAUCCUUAUUCUGUAGGCCAUCCCCAUACUUAUGUUGCUCCUGAAUGUCAUAUUUGUGGAUAUCAAGGUCAUAUUCCCGUCGAGUGUCAGCUGGGUAAAUCUUUCACCCCAAAUUGUUAUGAUAUGGGUUUUACUCCACAGCAUGAUCUGUACCACAACAAUUACCCCCUAGUGGGCUUGAUAACCCAAAUAUUACAUUUAGGAACAGCAGCCCUGAGGACUCAUCUUUUUCUUCUAGCUAUCCUAUGCAGGGAUUUAGGAAUGAAGAGGCGAAGUCACAAGCUCAGUUAAAUUUUGAAGCAGAACAACAAGCUUGGUUUGAAGAUUUUAUGAAGACGCAGCAAGAGAAGAUGGUUCAUCCACAAUCAGCUAUACUUUCAGAUGUAGAUCAAGAACAUGUGAUUUCAGAAAAUGAAGAAAAAGUUGCUCAGAUUUGGGAAGAAGAGAGAUCCGAGAUUAAAGAAGAUGAUGCACUAGAAGACAAGACACACAAUGAGCAAGAGCUGGACUAUGGAAGUAGCAAAGAUAUAGUGGCUGCCAAUCUUGAAGAUAUUGAAGAUAAAGAGGCUAAUGGAGUGGAAAAUGAAGAUAAUGAGGAGAUUCAAGUCGACAUGUCAAUUAUCAUUCAGGAGUGUGAUGAAACAGGUUUAUCAAACCCAAUUAAUGACAUUCUUCCUUAUGAAUUCCCUGCUACUACCUUGCAUUGCUUGAUACCAUCACUUAAGGUAGAACUGAAUUGUGACUUUCUUAAAUUUGAUGAUGCAUACUUUGUUAGUGACAAUACUGAAAUUCAUGAUGAUGACUCAUGUUAAUCACAUGCUAAAAUUCUGCUUAUGGAUGCAUGCUCUAAGAUUACUCGCGUCUCACAUGUGAAUAUUUAUCAUUCUCACCUUGUGCUUUAUUGCUACGCUUACAUCAUUGGUUUUUCAAUUGAUGACUUAGAGGGUGUUGGUCCUUUGACCUCUCCUAGGUGCUAUUCAUAUGAUAUAACUGAGUUUAAUGUGAUAUAUCAUCAUCGCCAUGUUUUUUAUCGAUAUGUGUAUACCAUUGGAUACUCCAUUGAUAAUUUGGAGGGGGUUGACCCUGUCUCUUUUAGUUCUUGUUGUGAGUGUAUUUCAGGCAUAUCAUAGGUGCUUUGUCAGCUUGGAAAAGUCCAGAUUCGAGUUGACAUUCCUUGGGACCCUGGUGGAUAUGAGGUUUUGAGAUGGUGUAGCAAAGAGAGUUGUAUCACACUUGAAAUAAAAUGCUGAAGCAGAUGGGAUCGAGGGAAUCAAGAAGAGUUGUCGAAUUCAGAAGAUGAGUGGCUUGGUCUGAAGGGAAGGUGUAGUCUGAUAAAAAUAUAGUUCAAAUCAUCUAAAACACCAGGUGACUUGUUUCCAGUAUAUGAGAUCAUGUUUCUUCCAUUGCCUGCAACUUUUCUCAAACUGAUCACUGCUAUUCGUUAUUGGUCACAUCAUUGCUUUCUUGUUGAAGCUGUUCUUCUUUGAGAAUCACAUAACAUUGCUUUAACUUGUUGUUUUCUUACCGAAAAAAAAAGCUGCAUUAAUUUUUUUUGUGAUUGCUAUACUCCAGGAUCUUCAUAAUGAAAAGAUACAUCAACUUUCAGUUUAAACACAACAGCUAUUGGUGCAUGUUCUUAUUGCAGUAAUCUAAAGUAUACUUCAGAUUUGUUUUAUUUUCUGCUCUCAUUCCUAAUAAAUUAAGAUUCUGACAAAUCUGAAUGUCUCCUUAUGCUAGUUAGUCCUGUAUCGACUCAAUUGAUUAGUUGCUAAGUAGUAGCUAUGAUCCCGGGAUCUGUAGCUUGUGAAAACAGUGCUAUUGAUCAUAGGUUUCUUUACAAAAUCUUUUAUCCUGUUGCAAUUUGAGCUUUCAAUAAGUGGCUUGUCCACAAGUCUUUAAAUCUCUGAAUAAGUGGCUCAGCCACAGUGUUAUCCUUGCAAAUAAGUGACUAUGUCACAAUUUGUUUCAAUAAGUGGCAGUCCACAUUGCCUUGCUCUGUUUGAAUAAGUGACUCUGUCACAUCUUUAGUUUGGAAUAAGUGGUGCAAGCACCACAAUUUAUUGCAUUUCUUGUUUCGUUUUUAUUUUUGAAAAACCAUGAACCGUGACUCGUUACUGGACUGCUGUCAUAGUUUGAAUUCAGUUUGCAAAAUCUUCUUUAUUAGUUAGGGGAGCCUAAAAUAGUUUAAAUCUUCAGUAUACUUUGAGUACAAUAAUCAGAACAUACAGCUUUACCUGUUAAGUUUAAACUGAAGUUUCUUGGGUCCUUUUUAUUGUGACGGAAAUCCUAGUUGGAGUGAUUACAUACCUCGUUUCAUGCUGUUGUCUCAUUUGCGAUCUGUUUCCUCAUUUGCAUAUCUCUUUGCUUGAGGACAAGCAAAAGUUUAAGUGUGGGGGUGUGAUAAGCAUCAUAUUUGCACUAUUUUCUGGCCAUAAUUAUAUCUGAAAUCUUGUGUUUUGAACUCUGAAUUAUUCUAAAAUGCCAAGAAUUUAUACAAAUACUUGUAAUAUGUGGCAAAAAUUACAUUGUAGCUUUUCUUUUGCAGUUAAGUGCGAAAAGGCACAUACUCUUCUCAUUUUGGACGAGCUGCUGAUGCACCUAUACACCGAAGGACUUGAGCAUAAGGAAAGAGGAAAGAAAGGGCUGAAGUGAAGAAAAAAAAGACCAACUUGCAAAAGAAGAAGAAAGGAGAAGGGCCUGGAUGUAAAAAUGUCAAAGGGAUUAAACCCUAACUCCUGCUCUCGAUCCCCUUGAGCCUGGCACUUCCCCUUUCCCCUAUCUCCUGCUGCACCACCGGCCGCCGCCGCAGCCAGGCUAGCGUGGCGGUGCACCACCGAGCUAGCUGCAGCCCCUUCCCGAUAUCCACUACUGCUCAUCCUCCAUACCGCCUCUGCCAACAGCGGGCUGCACGAAUCCUCUCCAUCAACACCUGUUGCUCCCCACUCACCGAAGAAAUCAACAGCCAAGGAACGCGAGCACGACGACCACCUGCAACAUCCUCCCCUUCUCCAAGUGCUGCUGCCCUCUCCUUUGGUUAAAUCCCCACCGAACUCUCUCUCUCUCUCUCUCUCUCUCCUACUUGUUGCUUGCUGUUUGUGUGUAUAAGAACUAAGAAAAAACAUGCUGUUGAUCUUUGGAAAGUUAGUUGAGCCUUGCAUUGUGUUAAACUCUCUCUUUAGCUUCUGGCCGAUGUGUGCACUUAAUUAUUGUUCUAUGUUAUAAGACUCGUAACCUGUUUGUUCAUAUGUCAGGGAAGAUCUUUGAGUUGUUCUACUCUAAUAUUUGUGAAUGUGGCUGUGUGUAUACUUGUUGAUGUGUUUCGUGCAAUUUUCUAUCCCUAUCUAAAAACUUGCUUCUUCCCAGUCUUAUAUGUUUGCUAGUGAAAUUACUUUCUGUCAAUAUUGUUCUUUGUCUUUGCUUCUGCCCCUGUCUUUGAUGUAUGCUUGUCUUAGUGUUUUAGAUUCUAAAGUAAAUUGAAAAUACCAAAAAAAAAUAUUGGUGUCAUUCUGUACCUUGAAUCCCAUAAUUGUUUCUAUCCCUAUCUUGGAUCAUUGCUUGUGAUGUUUCGUGGUAGAUGAUCUUGUCUUGCUUUUGAGUGGGAAACCUUCUCUUUGUUUGUUUUAAAUUUCAAAAUCCUUUCUUGUGAUCUAGCUUUAACCGAACAUUGUUGUCGCUGCCUAGUCCCUGUGGAGAACAUCGACAAAAACUACUAUAUUUGCAUUGAUCAAUAUUGUUCCUCAAUCUCAUACUUUUUGUUGAAGCAUAAUGGUUCUUACUGUUUUUGUCUUCACUGCUACUGCUUUACUUGGUCAUCUUUCUUCUUUCCAUUGCAACUCUAAAAUUGCUAAGUAAUAUCUCUGUUGUUAAAGCACUGUGACUGUCUUCACUCUUCAUUCUUCAUUUUUGAUGAAAACUUAAAACUGGUCACAUUCCCCCCCCCCCCUCCUCUGUGACGUACUCGAUCUUUCACUUGGUUUCAGAGCAAGGUCUCCUUGUUUUGGUUUUACCACCUGAGGAAGAAGUAUGUCUAAGAAAGUGAAGUUACCUGUUCUUAGCAGUACAAAUUAUGCUUUUGGAAAAAUCGAAUUAAGACACACAUCAUAUCUACUGACCCUUGUGCUUGGGAAGCAGUCACAAACGGUUUUGUUGUUCCUCAGGGCCCCGUCUCUAGAUAUGACGCUAUUUCUCUGAAGAUCAGUAACCUUAUUGGUGCCAAGAAGAUUUGGGAUCUUCUCGCUGAAGUCCAUGAAGGGACAACCGUCAAAGAUUCUAGAGUUACUCGCCUCAUCAGUCAGUUUGACAGACUUGUGCUUGAGCCCAAUGAGACUGUUUGCUCACUCUAUGAUCGUAUGAGCACCAUUGUGAAUGAUCUGAAUACUCUUGAUGAUUACAAUAUCACUGACUUGAUGCAAAACAGAAGAUUUCUUCGAGCUCUUCCCAUGGAGUACACCAUUGUCUGUGAAUUGAUCAAGCAUCGGCCAGACUUCAAGGAGUUAACCCGUACCUGGGUGCUUGGAUGAAUUGUGUCCUAUGAGCUUGAUCAGGAAGAAAAGAAGAUGAUCCAUGGUCCUGGAUCCAGUUCGAAGAAGAACAUUGCUCUCAAGGCCAAGAAAUCAUCCAAGAAGAUCGUCGGCUCCAGUGCAGAAUCUGAAUACUCAUCUUCGUCUGAUGAAGAAUCCAACUCUAGUGAUGAGCUUGCUCUGUUUGUGAAGAGGUUCAAUAAGAAGUUUGGAAAAAAGUUUGGAAAUAAACUGAAGCAUCAAGGUGAAUCCAGCUCAUCCAAGUAUCGGAAAUCUGCUCAUCGGAAGAAAUCUAAUAUGGCCAAAAGAGCUUACUUCAACUGUGGCAAGAAAGGGCACUUCAUCACUGAAUGUCCUGAGAAAGCUGAUGAAGACAAGGAAAAGAAGGGAUUUAAGAAACAUCCUCACAAAAAGAGCCAUGACCGUCACAAGAAGAAGGAUUGGAAUAACGACUCUACUCACAAGAAGAAGGGGAACUAUUACUCUAGAGCACAUGUUGGUGAAUGGAACUCAGAUUCUUCAUCGUCUGAAUAAUCAUCUGAUUCUGAGUCUGAAGACGGCAUCGUCAGAUUGGUCAUAGCUAUUUCAUCUGCCAGAGAGAAGACUCCAUUGUUUGACUCUGCAGAUUCAUCAUCUGAAGAUGCCUCCGGAGACGAUCGCAACUCACCAUCAUGCUUCAUGGCAAAAUCCUCUAAGGUAUCAUCUCAUAGUGAAGUUGAAAUGAAUUCUAGUGAUAAUGAUGAAAUUGAUAAUGAAGAAUCUGAACCCAUGACAUAUGAAAGACUUCAGUUCAUUGUUGAGAAGCAAGAAUACUUGCUUAUCACUAAGAUCAAGAAGAACACUAACAUGGAUCAUGUCGCACCAGUGGCACCCGGGGUACCACCGCUGCAUGACGCGUGGGCCACCUCGCUUGCUCCUCGGAAGGACCGCACCCCGGGCAGCUCCGCGCAAGCUGCCCCGCAAGUCACCAGCCCGGCAGAGCUAGCCAGGCUGCGGGGGUUGCCUUGGAGGGCAGCAAGAGAAAUCCCGCCUGGGCGCUUCCUGAGAAGGUUACUUGCCGAGAAGGGUGUUCCCGGGCGCACGCGUCCUUUACAGGAGCGGGACCGAGCAAGCAGGACAGCGGCGCCACGGGGCUGCUCGGCGGACUCCCUGUGCGCAGGGUUCGUCAGGACGAAGAGUGUAGCACACGCGAGCAUUUAAUGCACCGACAAAAAGGGGAUUCCCCGUCCAGUCAGCCUACAGUGACUCGCCGUGGUGUAAUUUUUAGGCGCUUAGGCCCCUAGUUGCAGGGCUACUCUUUGUGCAGUUAAGCCAGCACACCGAGGGGGAGCUGGGCUAGCUCCCUGCUCGCCAUUUGUCACCCUUGCACCAUGGCACCUGUGGUAUCCCCUUCGGUAUAAAAGGAGGAUCCCCGCCAACGGUCAAAGGGUUUGGUUCAUUCGGAUCCACACUAGCUCCAGCCAGGAAAAGCAAAUAACACUUAGCUGAAAAGAGAGAGCACCCGGGGACUCCCCUCGGCAACCUGUAAACCCUUGUUCAUUGGUUAAUAGCAAAACACAGAAGCAGGACGUAGGGUCUUACGCCUCAGGGUGGCCCGAACCUGGGUAAACGAUCUCGUGUCUAUUGUGCUCCAACCCUUGGCAUUGGCCUCGCCAGCGAUCACCGGAGCGACCCCCGCCACCCACUGCCGAACCUAAAAGGGGGUGCCCCGCAUCCCCGGUGUCAAAGCACCGUGCUACGACAUCUUGCGCGCCAGGUAGGGGCCACGCAAGGAGAGCUCGCUGGUGACCGCCGGCGCCGUCGUCUACGGCAGCACCGGCCUCGUCUACUCCAACAACAGAGCCAGUCGCUAUGCCACCCAAGCGGGCUGGUGACUCUCGGAUCGACCCGCGUGAAGCCCCAGCGGCACACACGCGAUCGCACGACGCGCAACCCGCGUCGCGGGCUCAGGAGAACCCUGAGCCCUCUCAGGCGCAGCAGUCGCAGCUACCACCCCCGCCUCCUCGGCCGUCGGCGGACAACCGGCUGAGGGGGCCAGCGGCUCCCAGCGCCGAAGCCAAUCGCGCGAGCGGCCAUGAUGCCGCCCGCGCCAGCCGGCGAGUUGAAUCGCGGGCCGGAGACGCGCAGCGGCAGCUGUACCAAGAGCACCCUGCGUCACGAGCGACGCCGACGCGAUCGCACCCUACUCACCCGGGUGCGCCGGGGGAUAGGGCGGAUGGUAGCCGGUCGGAGAAUCGACUGCCCCCAGCCCAAACCCUGACAGAAGCCAUCAUUGUGCGGUAUGAGUCAUGGUGCGGUACGAGCCGCAGCAGGGCACGCCGGCACACCAGGCAUCGAGGGCGGAGUUGGACGCGCUCCUCGCACUCGCCGCCACGUAGCCGCAGGGCGGGGGCGCCCCGGCUGGCUCAGGCCGCGGGCAAAACCCGGGGUGCGAAGACAUACCCCGCGUCUUGGGGCAGGGGGAAAACCCUCCCCUGCAGGGAGGGCAAGGAGGCGGGGAUCCUGAGGGGUCCUCGGAUUCGUCACCAACCGUCACACGGGGUAACUCGCGGGGCGUCUUGAACGCCCGCCAACAGGAGGACCUCCGCCGGUGCCUGGAGCGCCCGCGCCCGGAGAAGCAGGAGGAUGCUCCCAUGGGCGCCGAGGACGGCUGCACCGCAUUCACCCGCGAGCUGCGCCGGGUGACAUGGCCCUGCAAGCGCCGAGCGCCGGCGCUUGGGACGUACGACGGGACCGUGAACCCGAAGGAUUUCCUCCUGACCUACACGUUGGGGAUGCACGCCAUCCGUGCCGACGACAAGGUCAAGGCUAACUGGUUCCCAAUGGUCCUCAAGGGAUCAGCGAGAACGUGGCUGCUCAACCUGCCUGCCGAGUCCAUAGCCACUUGGCCGGACCUGCGCGAGCAGUUCGUGAGCGCGUUCAGGGCGGCUACAAGCGCUCAGGAACCAUGGCGGAGCUGCACACCGUGGUGCAGAAGCCGGGAGAGACGCUGCGGAGCUUCGUCAACCGCUUCUCCAGCCUCUCCUACUCCAUCCUGGAGGCGGAGGCUGCCGCCAUCGUCAACACCUGCGCCAACAACGUCCGCGACCUCAAGAUGCAGGAGAAGCUGAGCAUGCAUCGGAUCCGGACGACGCAGGAUCCCUAUGCCCUGGCGCACAAGUGUGCCAUGGUCGAGGAAGGGCGCUUGGUGCCUGAGCUUGCAGCUAAGGCUGCCGCGUGCCCAGCUGUAGGCUCGCAGAAGAAGGGCUCCCGCAAGCGCAACGGGAAGCAAGUCCUCGCCGCGGAGUCGGGGGCUACCGCGAGGCCUGCGAAAAAGGCCUCGCCCGGUGGAGGGUCUGGCGGCAAGCUGGGUGACGCGGUGCGAGAAGCGCCACGAGGAGCGCCAAGCGGCCGGCGCCUGCUUCAACUGCGGUGACAUCGGGCACCUCUCCCGGGAUUGCCCAAAUGAACCCAGAGCGGGGCCGAAGCCUGCUGGUGGGGGCGCCGGCAGGGAGGAAGCCCAGGGAGGACGCGGCCAGGCCCAUGCAGGCAGGGAGCGCCCUCCCCAGGGAUGAGACAAGGCUUGCGCUGAGGAGCAGCGUGAGUCCGAUUGCAGCGCGGGCAACGAGCCCGGCUUUCGGGAGCCCCGCGGCAUCUCCUGCAUCCAUGGGGGAGCUUACGCUCUCUCAUCCCACGCCGCGGUGAAGCACCUCACCCGGGAGGUGUGUGCGUUGUUGCCGGACACGGAGGCGCAGCAGCCGCUUAAGUGGUCGCACGUGCCUAUAACCUUCAGCGCUGAUGAUCACCCAGCCUGACAGCUGGGUUCAGGGGUUCUACCCUUUGUGGUCUCGCCGAUCAUCAACAACGUGACGGUGACCAAGGUGCUGGUGGACAACGGAGCGGGGCUGAACCUCCUGUCCGCCAGGUUAAUGGAAAAACUUCAGCUGCCGCAUCACACUGGGGCACAUCAGUGAACCUCGGGAUCAUGCGCCCCCUUGGGCGCAUCACGCUGCCGGUUACCUUCAGGUUCCGGGAAGCGUUCAGGACCGAGCACCUGGUGUUCGAUGUGGCGCACACCCCGUUGCCAUACAACGGGAUCCUUGGUUGGCCGGCUCUGAUCAAGUUCAUGGCGGCGACUCAUUGGCCUACGGCGUGAUGAAGAUGCCGUCCAUGUAUGGCGUCCUCUCCGUCAGGUGCGACCUCAAGGACGCAGCCUGGUGCGUCGGCGAGGUCGUCAAGGCCGCCGCCGCAGCCGACUCCGGUGCCGAGGAAGUUGCCGGGAGUGAAGGCUCGCUGCCGGGUGACGGCCCCGUGGUGAAGAAGGCCUGUGCUACCCCGCAAGAGCUUGCCGGGGGAGGCGCAGGCUCGAGCUCGCGCCCCGGCAAGGGCUAGAAGCUCCAGGAGGAGGCCGCCAAGGUGAGGAAGCUGCCCCUCCAAGCCGGCAAUGAGGAGCGCACCGUCACCGUUAGUGCAAACCUCACUACCGAAUAGGAAACCGCCCUCAUCACUUUCCUUCGGGAGAACGCCGAUGUGUUCUCUUGGGAACCGCCGGACCUUCCUAGAGUCCCUAGGGAGGUGAUUGAGCAUCGACUCACGGUGCGUUCGGACGCCCGCCCCGUCAAGCAGAAGAUCCGCCGGCAAGCACAGGAGCGCAAAGAUUUCAUCAAGCAAGAAGUGGACAAGUUUAAAACUGCGGGAGCCAUCAGGGAAGUACUGUACCCUUCUUGGUUAGCUAAUCCUGUGGUAGUACCCAAGGGGGAGAAUAACUUCGCAUGUGUGUGGAUUUUACUGAUCUAAACCGUGCCUGCCCGAAAGAUCCAUUCCCUGUACCACGCAUUAAUCAAAUAGUAGAUUCCACUGCCGGUUGCAAUUUGCUGUGUUUUUGGAUGCAUUUUCCGGCUACCAUCAAAUUAAGAUGGCAGUCGAAGACGAGGAGAAAACAGCGUUCAUCACCCCGGUUGGCUGCUACUGUUACACGUGCAUGCCGUUCGGGUUGAAGAACGCGGGCUCAACAUUCCAGCGUGCGUUGCGCGAGUGUUUGGGACCCUAGCUAGGCCGAAACGUAUAGGCCUAUAUGGACGAUAUCGUCAUCAAAUCAAAGCGCGGGGACUCGCUGAUUGAAGACCUGCGGGAGACGUUUGAUAACCUCCGUAGGAUCAAGCUCAAGUUGAACCCUGAGAAAUGCAUCUUUGGUCUGGACUCGGGUCAGCUUCCGGGUUUCUUUGUUUCGCAUAGGGGGAUUCAAGCCAAUCCAAAGAAGAUAGAGGCUAUCGAGAAAAUGGAGGCUCCCCGCAAGGUGAAGGACGUUCAGCGCCUCAACGGCUGCGUUGCCGCGUUGGGGCGCUUCAUCUCGAGGCGGGGCGUGCGCGCCCUACCCUUCUUCAAGGUGAUGAAGAAGAAGGGACCGAUCGAUUGAACCCCCGAGGCUAAGGUGGCGUUCCAGGAUCUCAAGCAGUACCUGAAGUCGCCGCACAUCCUCAUCUCCCCCAAGCCGGGCGAGCCGCUGCUACUCUACCUAGCGGCGACUGACCAAGUGGUAAGCUCGGUGCUGGUUGCUGAGAGGGAAGAAGACCACCCGGGGAUGAGGUUGCGGGGCAGGGGGCUGAGCGGCCCCCGGCAACCGCCUCGGACCCGGGGAUCGCCAUCGAGCCCGCGGCGUCAGCACCACGCAAGCAGCUCGGGCAGCACCCUGUGUACUUCGUCAGCACGGUGCUGUGUGACGCCCGCACGCGGUACCCGCAAGUGCGGAAGCUAUUGCUGGGGAUUCUGCUUGCAUCACGCAAGCUGCGCCAUUACUUCCAGGCUGUCGGGGUUCUGCCUCGAGCGGGCCCUCACCAACCGUGACGCCACUAGGAGUGUGGCCGAGUGGAGGAUGGAGUUGUCGGAGUUUGAUCUGCACUUCACCAACACCAAAAUCAUCAAGACCGCCGCUCUAGCGGAUUUCGUUGCAGAGUGGACUUCGACGGGCAUAGAAGAAGAGGAGCCGGAGACCAGCCUGCCCGGCAAGCUGGACGAAGGCCACUGGGUCCUGUACUUCGACGGUGCGUUCAGCCUGCAGGGGGCUGGCGCCGGGGUCGUCAUCGAGUCGCCCACGGGUGAUCAGCUGAAGUUCACCAUCCAGCUCAACUUCCCCAACACCACCAACAACACGCUCGAGUAUGAAGAGUUGCUCGCCGGGUUGCGGGCGGCGGUCGCCCUGGAUAUCAAGCGCCCGGUUGUUCGCGGGGACUCCCAACUCAUGAUCAACCAGGUUAACAAGGACAAUGACUGCCCAAAGAUGGCGGCGUACGUGGAUGAGGUCCGCAAGCUGGAACGCAAGAGGUUCGGGCCACCCGGAGGUGUAAAACCCUACGUCCUACUUGUCUGGGCUGAUAUUGAUUGUGGAUCAAGCGUUUACAAGUUGCCGGGCAAGUUCCCGGGCUUUCUCUACUAUUCUUUGCUAGUGCUCCAAGCUAACUCAACUCGCGCGGAACCUAGACUCUAACCCUUCUGAACCUCCCAACUCAACUCACGCAGAACCCAACCCCCCAACCGCUGGCAUGGGUCCUCCUUUUAUACUCAAGGAGAUGCCACAGGUGCCAUGGUGCAUGAGCUACAAGUGUCCAGCGGGGGGCACACAACUCCCCCCGGUGAGCUGGUGGCGUGCAUCGAUGCCACCUCCGCUGCUAGGGGUCUAAAACCCUAGGGUAGGAUUGGACAGCCAUUGUUCCUUCGAUCGGAUGGGUAACGACCCGUCGGUCGGCUUGUUUACUGAGCCGUGCGCCUUACUCCUUGCUCUGGUGGGACCGCGCAUCCCACGCCCGCCACGCGGCUCGCGUGGCGCUGUUGAUCUGGCCACUGGGCCCCGCGCCUGGGGCGGGGGCAGGUGCCCGGGAACCCCCUGUCUCGGCAAAUCGACCUCGGGAAGCACCUGGACCCAACGCACCCGGGAAGCCGCUUCCCGGGAGGUGCCCAAGCGAGAAUGUUCCCCGAAGCCCCGAUAGCCCCUUCUGGGCGGGUGCCACUAGUGCGACAGUAGCCCCCAGGCAUCGGCCGACAUCACCUGUUCUCGGAAGGCUCUCCCCCUGGUCGGUUGCCGGGCUACGCCCUUAACCGACGCGUGGGCCCCGAUCAGUCGCGGGCUCGCAUCCCUUCGCUGCCCCGUGUACGGCGCCGUUACAAGCGGAGCAGUGGACCUGUGAUUUCCGCCCUAACUCCCCCCUUAAAUAGGGAAGUUAAGGCCACUCCGCGCAUUACUCCCAGUGAUUAGGAGUUAUCCCCGCACACCCGUAGGGUACGGAACCGGCCGUUACCAAACGGCCGGGUGUCAAAAAGCCACCACUGUUGCCAAAAGGGGAACAAUACUCUGCCCCCAUCGCCUUCGCCUCCAUCCCCUUCCGCAUCUCGCAUCCCUGCGCUCCUGUUAGCUUCCGCCCUCGCUUUCCAUGGCGCCCCCCACCACCAGAAAAGGGAAGGACGUCCAGGUCUCGAAGAGGGCUGCGACGAGCACGGGGAGACGCGGAUCUUCCCGUCAGGUGCUGAACACUAGGACAACGACUUCCGGGUGUUUGCGCGCUUCCUCCUCUGCGGCAUGGUGCCGCCCUUCUCCCUAUUCCUCCACGCACUGAUGGAGUCCUACCAGCUGCGGGUGGUGCAACUCCACCCCACCUCCUUGUUCCUCCUCGCCACCUUCCAAUUCCUUUGUGAGGCGUUCGUGGGGGUGAUGCCGUUGGUGGGGCUCUUCCGCCACUACUUCUACCCGCGUAUCGACAAUGCGAAGGCGAUGUCGUCGGGGGCGGUCUUCCGCACCCGCGACCAGAUGAGGUCCGAGUUCAUCGUCCGGUCAUGGAAGAAGAUUGAAAAAGAGUGGCGGAGCGACUGGUGCUGGGUCCGAGUGGAGGACCCCAGGAGUUCAUCCAACCGCCGAUGGAGCUGCCGCAACCCCAGAACGGCUGGCAGGAUAGGUACCACCGCGACGCCGGCAUCCUCCCCAUCAUGGAGAAGAUCAAGGCGCUGCGGCUAGCGGGGCUCACCGAUGUGGACGUGGCACGCCCCUUCGUCCGUCGGCGCAUAGCCCCGCUGCACUACGCUCCCGGCCCGCGUGGAUGUACACAGGCCCCGGGGACAGGACAUGCCUCCAGGAGGACGGCGUGGACUUGGAGACCCUCAGGACAUGGGUGAGGGGGAUCUCCGGCGAGAUCUUCCAAUCAACGAAGUUCCCGCCGGGGGUUUCCUCUCUUCACGCCGGCGUCAAGGCGCUCAGCGACAUCGUCGGCGCCUUCCCGCCCUACAAGUGGGGGUUGAUGGACGACACCCCCACACGGGUCCCGCACGCUCCCCCACAAGCACCCCGCGAGAAGCAGGUGGUCGAGGAGAGCGGGGGCGGAUCCGAGCCCAGCUGGCUCUCCCUCCAGUCGCUGGACGACGAGGCGGGCCGGGGGCUGCGUCCCCGGAGGGGGUUGCCGUGGACGACGACGACGAAAGCAGCGACAGCGCGCCCCUGAUCGUGAGGAGAUCGAGGGCGCUUGCAGCGGCCGCACCCUCUCCUCGACGGCAACGUCCGCCCCGGCAGUGGCCCCCACCCUUGCGGCGGCCGCCGCUUCAGGGACGCCCGUUGACACCUCGACAGCAUCUGCGGCAACAAGGGCCGCAGGGGUCUCGGCGGCGGCCUCCGCCUCAGCGACAGCCGCGAGUGUUGCGGUGGCAACCAGUCUCGGGGUGCCCGCCGGGACUCCGGCAGCGCCAGCGCCUGCAGGGGUCGCCGGUGCCUCGGCAACGGCCUUCGCCCCAGUAGCGGGGGCCUUCACGAGUUCUGCAUCUGGCGUCGUCGCGGCCUCGCCGUCGACACCCGGAGCUCUCCGGGUCACCACGACUCCGCGGGCGCCCACGGCGCCACCUGCUCAGGGGGUCUUCCGGGGCUUCGCGCUCCAGCGUAACCCAAGAAAUCCUCCUCGCCGGCGGGUGCCAGCAAGAGGGCGAGGAGCGAUUCCCCGCCCUGUACGCCCAGCAAGAGGACGUGCGCCGGUGCCCGCGGCGCCGCCGACCCCACCGCCGCAGGAGUCGGCCGCGACACGAGCAUGCCCCUUGGCGACCCAGCCCUCACGGAGGCAGGGCCGGCAGCCGGUAUGUCUUCGUCACUCUUCUGCAAUUGCAAUUUUUGUUAGCCAAACUCAUGAACAUACCCCCCUUUUUUUCUGCAGUGAGCGGCAGCAAGCCUCUUAGACGCUCCCGCCGGCACAAGCGAGGCAGGGGAGGUUUCCACGGCAAGCCCGGCGGCCGCGCAAGGUAACCACCCUGAUUACCCUUGUCCGUCUUUGAAGGCUCCGUUAAUCGCCGAUCCUUAUGCUUCUCAUUGUUGCAGGCACAAGUGCGCCCAUGCCCGGAACGGGCGCAACCGCGGCCGAUCUUGACCCGGUCGUCGAGGCUGUGGGGGUGGAGGUGGAGCCGGAACUGGCUCUUACGUCCAGUCCCGCUGCGGCGGACACAGCGGCAGCGGUGGACAUCGCCGCCGCCGUGACUGCGUCCGGCGACGCGCCCGUAGCUGCGGGCGCGACCGACGCAGGCUCUCCCGUCGCCCAGCAGGGGACGGCCCCCGCCGGGAGCAGGGAAGCUUCUCCAACCCCGGGGUCCCUGGGCGCAGGCGCAAGGGAAGUUGCUGGGGAAGGACAGCAAGACCCCCGGGAGCAGGCUGGCGACCCUGAGCACAGCCCCGCAUCAGCAGCAGGGGCUUCACCGUCCUCGGUAGCUCUCCCCGGUACUGACCUCGGCACCCUCGCCGGGGUCGCUUGGAACCCCCUUACAUGGGAUCCGAGCAUCUUCGAGCGGGGGCACGGGUUCCUGGACGCCGUCAGGGACCAGCAACUGGCCUUCGUCACCUCCUUCAACGAGGUGAGGGAGCACCACACCGCUGCCAAAAAUCAGCUCGGCAAGGUGCGGGAGGCCGUGGAGAGAGAACGGCGUGAACUGUCCCGGCUACGCGAGGAGAUGCGCCUCGCGGAAGAGGAGGCGCGACUGGCCCGGCAAGCCCUGGAGGACGCCCGGGAGCCGGUGGUCCCGGAGACCGAACUCCAUCGACAACUGGAGGCCCAGCGCGUGGAGCUUCAAGGGAAGCUCGACUCGAUGGCGGUCACCCUUGAGGCAACCAGGAAGGAACACGCCGAGGUGGUCGCGGCGGCCCAGGCCUAGCUGGACGAGAAGAGCGUCCUGAUCGCCAACUACCGCGGCGAAAUCCAAGGCCUCCGCGUCAUGCGGGAGGUGCAGGUCAAGGCCACCGAGGACGUGGCAAGAGCGGCGGCUCGGCACGAGGCCGAACUCACCUCUGCCAAGGACAGAGCUGCCAGGCUUGAGACCGAGCUAGCCGCCGUCCGGGAGGAGCUCGUCAAGGCAGGCGAGGACAAUGUGGCCAAGGCCGCAGAGCUCGAGAAGCUGGCGGGCCGCCUCAGCAAGGCUAAGAAGGCUGCGCACGACGCUUGACUCCAUCACGGCACGCUGAUCGGGCAGCGGCAGAUCGAGACGGAGAAGCUGAUGAAGAUCGCCCUGUCGCUGCGCGACCUGCUGCCCAAGUUCGAGCUGCAGGCGGCGGAGGUGGACGGGACAGACGUCACGACGCUGAUCCCCUUCUUCUCCGUCCUGGUGGGGAAGCUUGGGGCGCUUGACGUCUGGAUCGCCCGGUACGGCGCCAACGAAGUCGCCAACUGCGCUCGGGAGGUUGCCGGGACAAUCCUCCCGUGGAUUCAUCCCGGGACCCGGAGUUUCCCUUCGAGUCCCUGCUGGACGCUUGGUCCGACAGCGAGGACGAGCCCACGCCCACCCAAGCAGUGCGUGAGUUCGUCGAUGAGGUCGUCGAGUGGAUGCAGAUGAAGCCGGAGCAUGAUCUCCCCGCCGACCCCCCGGCCGAAGACGGCGACAACUAGUUGCCACAGCCCCCAGUCGAGCUCGUUGCUCCCAAUGUAGCUCCUCUAGUUCUCUUUCCACAAGUAUGGCGCUUAGCGCCGUUUGAACAAUCACCUUUUGAUUAGUCUAUGCAAUCAUUCAGCACUCGGUCAAUCAAGCUUUUUAAUUUGCUCAAUUUUUGUUCCUUGUUUCCGGAGCUGCCUCGCGGGGCAGUUCCCUUAGCCUUUGCGUGUCAUGCCUUGUGUUGCCGGGGACUCGCACGUCCCACCCUUGACCAGACCAGGGACCCGGGACGGACCCGCAGUGCCGACCUGGGGUCAAGCGGUAGUCGGCGAGCCACUCCACUUGCGGGGUAACUACUCCAAGCCAUGCCCUCCCGAGACGGACCCGGAAACCAUACGGGGAGCGCACUCCCCCCACAAGCGUCCUCCUCACACCCCGGCCACACGCGGGUUCCGGGGCCACACUUGGCGAAGCAGCGUCCAAUUCUCAGUCAAUUAAGUUUUUCGACAUGUUCGUUGUUCCUGGUGCUGUCUAGCGGGGUGGCCCUUUUAGCCUUUGCGUAUUUUGCCUUGUGUUGCGGGGGACUCGCGCGCCUCACCCUUGACCAGACCAGGGACCCGGGAUGGACCCGCGGUGCCGACCUGGGGCCAAGCAGGAGCGAGGAGUCACACCACUUGCGGGGUAACUACUCCAAGCCGUGCCCCUCUGGGACGGACCCGCGAGGCCACAUGGGGAGCGCACUCCCCCCGCAAGUGUCCUUUUAACACUCCGGCUACGCACGGGAUCUGGGGCCACACCCAACGGGACAGAGCUCAAUUUCGUUCAGUUCUUAGCGAGUUCAGCGUUCAUGUUCAGACACUUAGCUUUUCCGUUCGGUCCAAUGCCUCGUGACGCUCGGCGGUAAAGUACAGCUGGGGCACUGCGUUGGUAGGACCCCACCUUGGGUACCUGUUCAAGGGAAACGGUUUCUGAGGGGUGCGGCAGGAGCGCAGGGGCAGGACCGCCGCCCGCGGCAACUGCCGACGACGAUGCUACCACCACGCUCACGUGGUAACCCUCGCCUUCAGGGACGAACCCUAGCUUAGGAGGACUCCACCCCGGGAGCAGCCGCAAGACGGCUAUAACGUUCUCGCCACCAGCUGCGCCCCACCACGAACGGCGGGCACGGGUGGCGAGGAAGUUAUAGCCUCCCGGCGACAGCCCCCGCAACCGGGGAGACCUGGUUUUUUCUGGGGAGCUCGUCCCAAUGGAUGUGACAGCCCUUGCUGCCCGGGAGCAAAACUGCUCGAGGGCCGUGGCAGGGACGCGGUGAUGGGCCGGAACGGGCGGCAGGCGCCGGCACCGGCGCCCUCACAGCGUCCUCGCAACGACCCGCGCCCGAAAAAGGCUCUCUCAAGGGGAAUGCGGUUGGGUCUCUAUGAUAAUGCACCCGUCAGCACAAGGCAUGGAUGGCAUGCACUAUCAUAGAGUCUCCGCAGCAGCCCCUGCUCCUUGCGGAGGUGUCUUAUGGAGGGGCGCGGCAGGGGUACUGCAGCAAUGCACCCCGUCAGUGCCGGGCACUGAUGGGAUGCACCACCACAGUGCCUCCGCGGCGACCCUCGCCCAGGAGCCACCCAUUUGAGGGGCGGGCUCGAUGGGGUCAUGCGGCAGGGGCGCGAUGGCAACGCACCCGUCGGCGCUGCACCACCAUCGUGCCUCCAUGGCACCACCCGCCUUAACAGCCCCGGAUCCAGGUUCGCUCUGAGCCGUUCCAUGUUUGAGGCGCGCCUUUUAUAGGCGCGGGAGGGGGGUUUGCCACCGCGCACAACGGGCCCGCGUAGCACCCGUGGCACCCCUUCUUUGAAACGCGGUACAACCUCCGCCGUCGUGCACACUUGGCAACCGUGGCACACGUGGCGGUGCCCUCCCGAGUCAGAAGCCUCGGAGUGCGGUGAGCCUCUUGUGCUGCGGUCAUCCCGCACCACAAGGCACCGGUGGAUGGUGCGACCCAUGGGCAGCCCACGGGCACCACAGUGCAAAAGAUUCCAUCCUUUCCUACAGGUUAGAUUCUUACCAGGCUUGAGGUGCUGCAAAAAUUUUCAAAAUUUACGAAAAUAUACAAAGCAACACAAAGAAAACUCCUCCUGCCUCCCAGCCCCCGGGCACAAAGGGGCCGAUACCAGACUUGGAUGUGAGCAUUUUCUUUCCUAGGCGCAAUGACUGCGCGGUGCACGUUGCGGGGAGCCUGGCAACGGCACAUCCAGUGAUGCGCGUUGCGGGGAGCCCGGCAACCGCAUGUCCAGUGAUGCAUGUUGCGGGAAGCCUGGCAACUACAUGUCCCGUGCCGGAACGAUCCGGCAACGGGUUUAUGUUUUCGAGGCUCCAACAGCCCCCUGCUCACAACCAAGUAUGGAAAGACACCUUUGUGCACUUACAACAGGAGACAGAAGAGGGAGGAACAUGCGAAUAAACAAGGCAAAUUCAAAGCUCAGGGGCGAGACACUUAUCUUUAUUCACAAUAACUAAUGGUUUACACACGGGGGCUGCCUGGCUACACUAGUUCGAGAGGUAUGCACCAGCGGCAUCACCUGAGGGUCGGGCUCCGCCGCUUCACGGGUAGAACUUGCGCAAGUGCUCAAUAUUCCAACUAUUGGGCACCGGCAAGCCGUCUUCGGUUUCCAGGCGGACAGCCCCCGGCCUGGUCACCUGCACAACCCAGAAGGGGCCUUCCCAUUUCGGAGUCAACUUGUUCCCGGCCUUCGUUCCUUGUAUCCGGCACAGGAUAAGGUCUCCGUUCUCGAGCCCCCGGGGACAGACUCGCCUGUCCUGAUAACAAUGGAGUCCCUGCUGGUAGCGCGCGGCUCGCACAGCAGCCCGGCAUCGAAGCUCUUCGAUGAAGUUUAGAUCAUCGACCCUUUGCUCGUGUUGGCUGGUGUCACCGUACGCGUGUACUCGGGGAGAUCCGUGCUUGAGCCCGUUGCCCAACUAGGUGUUUCGCCCGUUGCCCGACUAGGUGUGGUCAGGAUGGACCACAGCACAGGCUGGAGUUCUUCGACCCAGUGUUUUCCGUGCCCUUUGAGCUUGUCAAAGGUUCUCGUCUUGAGCCCCCGCAGCACCUCUACGUUGGCUCGCUCCGCCUGUCCGUUACUCCUCGGGGGAGCAACGGACACGAAGCGCAGCUUAGUGCCCAUGUCCUCGCAAUAGGCUUGAAACGCCGCGCUCGUGAAUUGCGUGCCGUUGUCGGUGAUGAUGCUGUUAGGCACACCAAACCGGCACACAAUGCCUCUGAAGAACUUGAUGGCCGCCUAGGCGGUCACCUUCCGCACUAGUUCCACCUCCACCCACUUGGAG